AGUGAACGCUGGCGGUAGGCCUAACACAUGCGAGUCGAACGGCAGCACAGUAAGAGCUUGCUCUUACGGGUGGCGAGUGGCGGACGGGUGAGGAAUACAUCGGAAUCUACUUUUUCGUGGGGGAUAACGUAGGGAAACUUACGCUAAUACCGCAUACGACCUACGGGUGAAAGCAGGGGAUCUUCGGACCUUGCGCGAUUGAAUGAGCCGAUGUCGGAUUAGCUAGUUGGCGGGGUAAAGGCCCACCAAGGCGGCGAUCCGUAGCUGGUCUGAGAGGAUGAUCAGCCACACUGGAACUGAGACACGGUCCAGACUCCUACGGGAGGCAGCAGUGGGGAAUAUUGGACAAUGGGCGCAAGACUGAUCCAGCUAUACCGCGUGGGUGAAGAAGGCCUUCGGGUUGUAAAGCCCUUUUGUUGGGAAAGAAAAGCAGCAGGUUAAUACCCCGCUGUUCUGACGGUACCCAAAGAAUAAGCACCGGCUAACUUCGUG
rnacentral:rRNA from 1 species